ensembl:lncRNA
CUCACACAGCUUUUCUAGUGCUUCUCUUUCAACAAGACUUUUAUGAUGAAAAUAUAAAUAAAAAGUGACAUAAAAUUAUACAGCUCAGCACAAGACUGGUUGAGGCAAAAUCUUCUUACUGCCAUUUUCAUGGCUACACCAUAAAGUUAUAACCAAUUAGUUAUUAAGUUUUCUCUGCUUUUAAUCCUUUGUCAUGCACAUGGGCUCAGAGAGGUAUUGCCACUCAUACUUUGUUAAUUUAUAGCACAAUCAUAUGUCUGUGAUGCUAUAUUUUAUUUGAUUCUUUCUUGCAUUAAGAAGUUUAAUUGCUUUGCUCUGUUUAGUGCAGAACUUGUAAUAGAGAACAAAUACAAGAGCAUGACCCUUCACAAGUAAAUUGUAGUUCUGGGUUAAACCUAGUCAGCAUCCACCAACACUUCUGGCUUUUUUUUUUUUUUUUUAAGCAGCAGUAAUAUAAAAUUAUAUAUAAAAGUAAUAUAAAAUAGCAAAGCGACCUGCUGUGCUUUUGGAAGGGCUGUUUGCAGGUGUACCAAAAGAUGCUAUCUCUGCUGUGAGCAGGAUGACCAGCAUUGCCUGUAGGAGCCAGCUGAGGAUCUCCCUUCCUCAUUUAAUAGGAGCCCAGUGCUUUGCUCUUCAUCAACUGAACCAGUCCCAGCUGGCCAGAGUCCACCCUGCAGGGCAUAACAACCCUCAGGAGGGGCAGGUUUGCUCCUGGAUGAAGCUUCAGCUCCUGCCCUUCUUGUGGAGGUUUGUGCCUCUGACCCAGGCUCACUGUGGUGCUGAUGGAGCUGAGCCCUUCCUGGGCUUGCUGCGCUGUUGUGGGACUGUUCUCAACAUGCAACUGCUUUCUGUAAAGGUAACUCAGCUUCCUCUGAGCUCUGGGUUGUCCUGCAGUGCAGACACAUUCCCUGGGAGAGGUCCUAAUGGCUCAGAAGGACAGAGUAAUGUACAACAUGAGUGGAGGUAACAAAUGGCAUUCCUGUGGAAUGAGGAAUCUUACAAGAAAUGCUGCUGGCCCUAACACAUAUUUGAAGAACAAGUCU